CCAACUCUCUCUCAACUCUCUUUCCAUUUUUCUUCAUAUUUUCAGAUUUAACAAGCAAAAAUGGAGCUCAAAAUCUAAUCUAAUCUAUUAUAAUAAUAAUCCUUCAUAAUAAUCUAUCAUCUAGAAUCAGGUUUCAGUUCUUGGGGCUCUUGUAUAUCAUGAAAAUUCAGCCCCAAAUGCAAGCAUUUUUCGGUUCAUAAAAGGUUAAAUCUUAAGUAAAUCAACUAUAAUAAUAAAGGAUUUUUACUUGGAUUCAUCAAGGGUCGUGUUAAGCAUGGAAUAAGGGUUAUUAGUAGCAUAAGAGCCACGAAAUUUCUGCCCAAAAACCAUCUUCAAAAUCAAGUUCAUCAAGGGGAUAGGCUUGGCUUUGAUAUACGAGUGAGGAGCAUAAGGAACAUAUGAUCAAGGAAGCUAUAGAUGGGAAGUACCCAUUUUGGAUAUAUGAAUAUAAUGCGUGGCAUAUCAAGUUUGGGUAUCGUCCCUCAUAUGGAAUCUUGAAAGUCGUUGAAAUUGGAGAUAUUGAAAAGAAAUUGAUAACCGAAUGAUUUUGGAAAUAGCAUAAGCUUUGAGGA